rnacentral:sRNA from 1 species
AAUAGAGAAACGAAGGUUAAAAGCAUCACGUCCUGUGAUAGCGCCUUCGUGACCAACAUCGUGUUGC